GUCCGCUCCGGGUUCGAAGAGAGCGAAAAUAUCGCCCGCCACGACGCGUUCCUCGUCCUCCUCGCCUUCCUCGUCCUCCUCGCCGUCCCAUCCUCUCGAUCUCUCUCUGAAAAAAAAAAAAAUCAUCUCGGUCUCUCCUCUUGUUCUACCCACCGCCGCGGCUCCUCGUGUGCUCCGCGCCGUCGCCGGCUCCAUCCGUUGCCACUGCUCCCUGCGCCUCAUCUUCCGCCGCGGCUCCUUGCCUCCUCUACGCCGUCUGCCAGGCAGCUCCUUCGCCCUUUACCCGACCCGCGUUGCCUUCUUCCCAGCCAGGCCGGUCGCGUGCGUGGUCGUCUUCCUCAUGGACGACGACUCUCCUCAUGGCCAAGAAGAGCAGAGGCAGCUGAGCAGGAAGCUUCUCCGUGGAUCCUCAACUCCGGGCGGCAGCCGCGCGAGCUCGACCCCAAUGUCGAUCUGCCACCAUAGCGCUCCUCCGGCCCAGCCAACCGCAGCACCAGCUUGUCUGCUUGUCGGUGAGCCUCACAGAUGCCUCCUCCCUCUACCUCCUUCUCUGUAGCUCGCGCACGCCAUAGCCUAGCGCCACCGAGUUGCUAUUGCCGUCGCUGCAGCUGCUCCAGCUGUUGCCAAGCUAUGCAUCUGAUAAGUGAUUAAUGGUGGUUAACGAUCUCCAUGUUUCGUUGCUCUCAUGCUAGCUGCUCUGGUCUUGUUCUGGUGCAGCCGUGCGUGCGGUUUAGGAGCUAAUUUGGUCAGCUUUAAGGAAUACUAUUUCCUCGUUUCUUGUGGUUGGUGUACAGAUGGAAGGGCUAAGAGCUGUGUAGGGAAAAAUGAUUGUUUGGUAAGGCCCUAUUAUUCAUUAAUCGUUCAGAAAGUGCGAAAUAUAAGGGAAGCACAUCGUAUGCCUAUCAUGAUUGUUACCAGGUUCUUGCAUCAACUAUAUUCAGUUAAUGAUUAUUCUGACUUUUGAAAUAGAUUAAGCUAUCUCCUCUUUCCCUUUUGUUCUUUUCUUUUUGCAGCCAUGGGAAUAGCAGGCAAGCCUUUCAGGGAAGAUUUAUUUAUUUGAGAGCUUUCUUCUGGUUACAGAACCAUGUUUAAAAUGAAAGCUGAAAAGCAAUUUAUAGCAAGUUGUCAGUAGUGCUGCAUGAGGAAGUAAAAUGGAGAAGUGAGCAAAGCACUAUUUGCCACCCUUGAGGUCAUACUUCCUAUUGCACUUUUCUUUCUGUCUUGAAGCUAAAAUGAAGUAGUCAUAUUAUCUUUUUUGGUUGAAUAUCUUUAGUAAAUGGUACAUAUGCAGUUGUAAAGGUUUGCUGUUAGUUAAAUAUGCACGUACGGCCACAAAAAAUGACUACAUGUCUCUUCUAAUAAGUUUGCACUGAUCUAAUUUCCCAAGACGUGUCUUGAUAUUUAUGCUCUGGUUGUACAAUGUUGCAUGUUUGCCUUAUGUCAUUACAAUGCAAUGGGGAGUAGAGUGUGGUUGUCUUUAGAUGGUUGAUCUAUUGAUCUGUUUUGCUUAAUUCUAUGGUAAUAAAUUUAUCUGUUAUUCUGCUUGUAUGUUGUUUGUUGAUUCAUUCGCUUUAAUUCUUCUGUGUGUUUUUGCUUGGACUUAAUAUUCUUUUUUCCUAAACAAAAAACAGAUGUCGAUAACCAUGUUAAAGGAUCUGAACCCGUAGAGUACGCUUUGGAAUGUUUGUGUGAGGCUGUCGCGUAUGUGGGAUUAUCGUGGAGGAAUAGACGAUGGUGAAAUACGCCAUGUGGACCUUGUUUUGCUGGGUGCUGAGGAUACGAUGAUCAUCAAUUGUUACCAUACCGUAGCUGUAAUUGGGAUGACCACAGAAGUCUGUGAUCUGGCCUCAGUGCACCCUGUGAAUCACGUGUGUCGACAGUUAGAAGGACAAUUACCUUUACGGGAUACAAGCAACUAUGAAAUGAAGCUUAAUAUGUGCGGUCAAAGGGCAUCCUAAUUCAGUGCUGAAGAAAUCUAUGCGAUUGGCCAGAAUAAACCACUAUGGCUAUUUUUGUUGGCACACUAACCAAGUCUUACAGAGCUGAACAAUCACUCAAUGCAAACACAAUGUGUCCAUGGUGCACAAAUACAGGAGCUUCAUGAGUUUUUAGAUAGGCAAUCUUUUCUGUUGUACCUCAUUAGCCUUAAGAUUUUGUUUUUCUAUUCUGAUUUGUGCACUUCCUAGGUUGCAGUAACAAGUAUGCUUUUUCGUAUUGCACCUUACAUGAUAUGUUUGAGCCUAUAAAGCGUAUUGCUACAGCUGAUCAUCCUACUGUCCCUCGUCUGCCAAAUGUGCAACUACAACUGACAACUUUGGAGGAGCUGAAGCGAAUCAGUCCAUAUGAAUUUCCACCUGAAGAUUUUCAUUGCACUGUCACUAUUUCAAGAAUUAUCCCAGGUCAGUCCUGUUGGUAUCCUGCAUGCAACCGUGGCAAGAACUCUUGUCUUCCAGACGGUAUUGGAUAUAAGUGCUCAUAAGAUUGGUGUAUCGGCUACAAAUUUAGGUAAUAAUUAUCUGUGUUAUAAAUAUAUGUUUUGGAUUUCUAUUUUUCCUCAACAAAUGUAAAGGUUGGAUCUUUGUGACAAAUUCCAUUAUUUCUGAUAGGGUGAGUUGAUAUCUAUAUAGUUACAGCUUUGCAACAUGCUUUUGCAUGCCUAUGUUCUUUCAUAUAUGCAGUUCUUUUUUUCGCAUUUUUGGAUGAGUCAUACUCUUAGAUAUUUGAAGAUGAUACAGAGAGAAAUGUAGUACAGUCCUGUAAGCUAUGGUUAUAUCAGGCACCCAAGCUUUUUUUUUUGUUACUGAAAUAGAAGGUUCAGUCAUUUUUCCUGAACUUAGCAUUGUCUUUUCGUGAUUUACGAAUUCUCUUGCUUGCAUCAAACAUUUCACUUUUGUACUAGAUUAUUAGUAUACUCUUCUGACUAUCCAAUACUUUAAAAUAAAUUUGACGUGCCAUUUAAUUCAAUGUUUUGCUCAUAUUGAAACUAUGAUAAAUUUUCGUCUGCGAGUUAUUUAUAUGCAUUACUGGAUAAGAAAUGACCCAUGUGUAUGUGUUUUAUGAUCUUUGAUUAAUCUUUUACAUUGGUUGUUACAUAGUUUUGGAGUUCCCUGGAAAUGAGAUAAAAACCUCUUUGCCAUUUGAUACAUGCAUGUUGACAAUGCUGAAGCUGUCAAUUUUCUUGUGCAAACUUAAAUCAUUCUUCUUUGCUUUUAUCCUGUUGAGAUGGACAACAUGCUCUCAAGAAGGUAUUUGCUUGUAUAGUCACCUAAAAUAUGACCAUCUUUUGCUUCUGCACAACCAUUUCAUAUUAUAUGAUUGCAUUUUUGGUAUGCUUGCCUGUCUGGUGUGCGUGUUAGCCUUCCUUUCGCCUAGAAUCAUAUCAGAGCCUGCUUGGGUCCUGUAAGCUCUUGCAUACUUUACGUAAAAAAAAUUGUUGAGCUAAUGCUCCACUAUAGUGCCUGCCUACUCGAUUUUUGUAAUUUUUAUGUUGUUACAUAUGUGCUGCCCAGAUAUCCGAAGUGAUUCUCUUGUGGUGGGCAAUUCUGAAGUGAUUCUCUUGUAGAGGACAAUAUACUAGCUUUGUUCACUAUGUCUGAAUCUAUAUGUUGUUUCAGUUAGUAGGCUACUUUGUUUACUCUGUUUUUGUAAUAUUCAAAUUUACAAAUUGAUCCUGCCUGCUAUUCCUUGCUUCUUCUUUUUUUUGCAACCAUUGUCAGUUUGAUGAAUUGCUGUUCGGAUAUGUGGGGGUGUUGCUGUUAAUGCAUGCAGUUUACACACUUUCGAAUUUGUACAUUUGAAUUUGUUAGCAGGAAUGUGGAACUAAGAUUUAAAGUGGUAGCUAUCGACUAUUGUGGAGUUAGUAUGUAGUUAUCUAGCGUUUAUUGUACCAGAUUCAUUUUAGUUCGCUUCAUAAUGGCAUCCUGGUUCUUUUACUCAAACUUUGUACAGUGUUCUAAUAGUUCAUUUGUGUUGCACAUGCAAACAUGAAACUGGAACACAUUAAAUGUCACCUUUGCUCAAGAGUUAUGUUUAAAUUCCUAGCAGUUUAGUUUCUUCUGCCACUCUUUAUUCGGUUUUUAGGUAGUCCUUUACCGUUGGCUGAUCAAAUCUAUCAGUUAUUUCUGGCUUAUCAGCUGAUGGUCAUGCUGAAAAUAACAGGCCUAUUAGUUAUAUGCUCUUCUUCAUUGCUUCCUCUGUUUCUUCCUUCGUUUCUUUCUCGGUAUAUGUCAAUACAGGAUAUUUAGGCGAUUUCGCUUCACUUCUGUGUUUGCUUGCUGCUAUUUUUUGUACUUUGAUCUCUAAUAUAAUUUCAUGCUAUCUCAUGAUGUGGAAAAAUUUCUUUGGUUAAUUCCCAUCCUGAAACCAGGGAAGGUAUGGCUCGAUAGAUUAUCUAUUUAUCCCUGUUUAUUUUUAAUUCAAUGUAUGCAAGCUGUAGUAGAUUCUCAAUGUGUUGUCCUUAUUCAUUUUUCUUGGCUAAAUAGGCCCAGCCAUGGCCGUACCAAGUUAAUAAUGUUGUCUGUUCUUAUGCAAGGCAACAUUCCAUCCGAAUCAUCAUUAAGACUGUAAUUUGAUGAUGGAUUUGCUUACUACAGUGGUUGGAAGGUUAAGAGUUUUGAAUGUGGUUGGUGUUUCUAUGGUUUCCAGAAACAUACGAAGUGAACAUUUGGUUAUGCUUCUCAGCCUGACCACUACGAAAAAAAAUUCGCCCAUGGUUAUGCUACGAGCUCUGCAUUUUUCUUGCAAAGCGAUAAAUGUUGCAGCUUUUUAAAGUCGUACUUUCGGACUCAGUUGCGGUGAGUUCUCCGGUUAUGCGCCAAUAAUUCACUCAUUUUUCUGGGAAAUGGUUAACCUUGGUCCAGAUGCUCUAUGAGCCAUUUGAUUUUUGCACUCGCUCCAUCCUACCUUUUUCAAUCUAUAAAUAUGCAGAUAGCUGAAUACAGUAUGGAAUAUAAGACUCGAGCUUAGUUUGUAAUAAUUAGUUGCGGGAGACCGUAUGUAUCUAAAACUAUUUGAGCCUUUGAACUGAUGGUGAGCAAUGCUCACUGCUGCUAGCUUGCAUAGCUUUUUGGUGCCUUCUUGCUCUGUUCGGAAUAUGACCAUAUUCUAUUUUAUAUCCAUGAUUGUCUUAGGUCUAAAUUCAUAUAUAUAUAGCUCUAUGAUCAGCAUAGCUCCAGAGGAAAAAUAUUAAUGCUUUUUCCUCUGCAAAAUUGUCUCUUAAGAUGAUUCUUUGCCUACCGGACUAACCCAAGUUCAAAACGCCGUCUAUUGUAUAAUUGGGAGCCUUAGCAACACUCUACUGGCUGCAGAGAAAGACGCUGCAUACCAUGCACUUCUUUUCCUGCAACAGACAACAAACCUCCAAGUACGUGACUACAACUACCUCUUACUUACCAAGCUCAGGCAGAUCAUCAGACGAAUUUUGGCUCAGCAGCUUACCAUAGCGAAUGAAAUUCAGACAUUGCUUAAUGCUUGGGAGAAAAGACUAUCCAGUUAUAUGCAUCGUCAAGCAAUGUGGAAGAUACCUUGUUAUCCUAUUUCUCUCCAGACCCUACCGGCCCUUACUCAGGUGAAAUCCACACUAUGCUUUCUCAUAUUAAGCAACUCGCACGAUCUGUACAAAAUUCCUCUCGCGCCUCACUUGCAAAGGUCAAACAGUUCGAGCAACAAUACUUCAAUCUCUAUAGAUGUUUAUCUUCAGACAAUAACUCUGUUGCUUUCCAAACGCCAGGUCUAUUUCGUCUCUUUGAAUGUUUUACCUGCUUGCUAUAAAAACUUUCACUGUACCAUUUCCCUUCACUUCUUUUUAGCUUACAUGCUCUGCACCAUGACUAAAUAUAUAACCCUGCCUGUUCCUGCAGAGCUACAUCGCAUGCCGUCGUCACUCUCUCUCCAAAGUUUAUGCUCACUGAGAUGCUGACAGUACUUCAGCUUCCCAUGCCAACAUACACUCGCAUCAAAACAUAUGAAGAUGAAUAUGCCAGCUGCAUCGAAUUUUAUCCCAAUAUCAAUUUAUUCAUCCACGAUGGGCCACGACAAAAAAUCUGUGGUUUCGCACCAGCUUCAGAACAGACUGCUGAAGAAGCGGCUCCUCUCCAAGCGAUUGCAUAUAUGGAAUCAGAAACACACAUACAGCUCCGACAUUUCAACUACCUUGUGGAGGAAAGUGCAUUAGAUGAGCAUAGGUCUUCGAUAAAGAAGACAGAGAAGCAGACGAAGGCAAUGGGAAUUUAUCUCUAAAAAUUGGAACACUGCCAUGAAUGAAAUUGCAGCGGCUUGUGAUCUAUUCGAUUCUGAUUUCUUCUGCGAGCUGAACUGCAAUUCUGAAAUAACUUCACAAUCAGGCGUCUUGUUUGUUAUCAAGCAUAUGGAAUCAGUCAUGGCAGAAAUACGCGGGUCUCUUCAACAAGCGGCACACACCUUCCAUGAGCAUGGUGUCUGCCCAUUCAGUGCAGCUAUCGAAUAAUAGCUUCACCAUGUCGCUGGCCAAACCAGUUCCUAUCACAUACAUAUGAAGCCUCUUUGCUAUUCUAUACAUCUUUAAUUCCCUGAACUCAGACCAGCACUUUAUAAUGACAUCUCAAUGUAAAUAGUUGCCUUAACCUGUGGUUGUACAAGUCAUCUUUCCCCUAAUAUAUCUUGCCAUCCUCCCUUGCAUUA